rnacentral:rRNA from 1 species
AUUGAACGCUAGCGGGAUGCUUUACACAUGCAAGUCGAACGGCAGCGCGGACUUCGGUCUGGCGGCGAGUGGCGAACGGGUGAGUAAUGUAUCGGAACGUGCCCAGUAGCGGGGGAUAACUACGCGAAAGCGUAGCUAAUACCGCAUACGCCCUACGGGGGAAAGCAGGGGAUCGUAAGACCUUGCACUAUUGGAGCGGCCGAUAUCGGAUUAGCUAGUUGGUGAGGUAACGGCUCACCAAGGCGACGAUCCGUAGCUGGUUUGAGAGGACGACCAGCCACACUGGGUCUGAGACACGGCCCAGACUCCUACGGGAGGCAGCAGUGGGGAAUUUUGGACAAUGGGGGCAACCCUGAUCCAGCCAUCCCGCGUGUGCGAUGAAGGCCUUCGGGUUGUAAAGCACUUUUGGCAGGAAAGAAACGUCGCGGGCUAAUACCCCGUGGAACUGACGGUACCUGCAGAAUAAGCACCGGCUAACUACGUG